AGUACUCCUUUUCUUUUUGAGUAGGGGAGGAAAAAUAGUUAAAGCAUCUGAAAUUUAAAGUAUUAAGUAAAACUUUUAUUUUAACAACAUUCCUUGUUUCCUUUCGCUGGAGAGAGGUUUUAGAAAAGAAACCUC